AGUUGUCCUAAGAAAUUGAUUUUUAAUGAAAUAUAUUUACUUUUACGGUUCUCUUUCAGCACAGAUAAAAUGCUUAUUUAAUUUUUUAGUUUCUUGAGACAGGACAAUAGACAAGCCUAUUCAAAAGAAAAUGGCAAACCUGGAGGGUUUAAAGCACAAGCUAAGAAAACAUAUGCUCAAUUUCACAGUAGGUGAAACUGAACAAACUCUAGGUAAAUUAACUGCUCCGGAAACUCUAUGCCAUUCUGUGUAGUCAGCAUAUUUUUGAGCAGUCAGGAUUUCACUAAGGUAAAGAAUUCCAAAGUCACCUGCUUAGAGAUGCACAUCCUCUGUGAUGGCAAUUUUAUGUACAAGCCUGACUGGGUUAAGGGGUGCCAAGAUAACCGAAAGGUAUUAUUUCUGGACGUGCUCAUGAAGCCUCUUUCAGAAGUCCAAUGAUUUAAUCAGUAAUUAAGUAAAGAUCUACUUUCACCAAUGUCGCCAGCACUAUGCAAUCCAUGGAGGACUCAAUACGAGAAAAAGGUGAAGGAAGAACAAAUCUGCUCUCUGCUUGAUCCCUUACAACAUGAUUUCCCGUCCUUGGGCAUCAGUGCUACUGGUCCUUUGGCUUUGGGACUAGGAUCCAAACUUACUAUCAGCCAACCCAAGCCUUCAGUAUCAGGCUGAAUUGUACAACUGGUCACUGAUUUUCUUGGCUCUUUAGCUUGUGGACAACUGGCCAUCAUGUAACUUCUCAACCUCCAUAAUCUUGUGAGCCAUUCCCCAUAAUAAUUUCAUAGACAGACUGAUACAAACACAGAUAAACUGAUCCUGUUUGUUCAGUUUCUCUGGAUAACCCUAGUUACUAAUAGACUAACUUUCCUAAAAAUAGAAAUUGUGGAAAAGGAAAUGAAGGAGAAAUAGCAUGUUGAAUUCCUGUGAACGAGGCACUUUUCCAGCUUUAUCUCUUUGAAUCUUCUUAAGAAUAUUACCCUGAGAAACUCAUCAUUAUAUCCAUUUUAUACAGGUAAAAAUAGUGAGAUAUAGGGAACUAUGACUUCCUUAGGGACAUAAAGCUAGAUAACUAGGAAAUAUAUUUCAAACCCACAAUUGUCUGAUUACAAAUCUUAUGCUAUUUUCUUUGUUAGUGAAAGAUAUUUGAAAAUGUACAUCUAUCCAAUUUACUCCUUUGCCCCUUCCUUAGAAAUUGUCUUCAUUAUUUUUUAAAUAAUUUAUAUACUACAUUCUUAAUUCUAGUGUUGAAAAAUAGAUGAUUUUCCUUUCAAUACAAAUUUUCUUUGUGUCUUACUUUAUGUAUUUUCUCAAUUUAUUUCCUAUCUCUUUUUUUUCUUCUACUUUGCAUCAUUUUCUCUAAUGAGGAUGAGUCCAUGCUACCCCAAUUUGUGGCAUCUUGGCAGUUGUAAAAACAAUAGAAAGAGGAUGCCCUUCAAAGAAGGAGGUACCUUUCUCUGAAGGGAGGAGAGAACUUCCACUUUGACCAUGGCCUUGUCUAAAAAUGAUCAGAGUCAGUGAACUCAGGGCACUUCCAUAGCCUUGGCAGCUCAUGACAAGAGCCUAGGGUGAUUACUGAGGCCAUAAACAAGAGUGUCAAUUUGUUAAGUCAACAACAGGAGUCACUGUGCACUUACUCCUCAUGUAGGAUCUUUGUCCUUAGUGUGCUGUACAUUGAGAUUUAAUGCUAUAACUAGUACUCAAACAGUAUUUUUCACUUUAUGUUUCUGUGUGGGAGCAAACUGUUGAAAUCUUUACUUAAUGUAUGCUAAACUGAUCUUCUGUAUAUAAAGAGAAUCGAAAAUGAAUCUUGAUGUGAAUGGAAGGGGAGAGGUAGUGGGAAAGGGGAGGGUUGCGGGUUGGAGGGACGUUAUGGGGGGAAGUCAUUAUAAUCAAUAUUCUGUACUUUGGAAAUUUAUAUUCAUUAAAUAAAAGUUAAAAAAAAAAGAAAGAGGAUGCCUUCUCUCUUCUUCUUCCACUCUUCCCCUGAAGCAGGCCAUAAAGUAAUUUUAUAACCUUCCACUGAUGUAGAUAAUAAGACCCUCAAGUGAGAGCUGUCAUUAUGUCCUUAGAAGAAAGGGAUGUCCUAACCUCUGAAGACACAGGGUUACAGAGAAGAAUCUAUCGAAACAUUCCAUGGUUCCUGAACUGCGUAAUCAAUUCCAGGGCUGUCCAAUAUGACUUUCCAAUUAGAGUAUCCCAAUCUACUUUCCAAUCUACAGUGUACAAGCCAUUUGCCACAAUAUCUAGAGGAACCUGAAAACAUUAUUCCAAAUGAAGACACUUAUGAGAAAAUAAAAGAGUGGUUACUAGAGAAAUAUAAAAAGUAGAUAGACCCUCCUGGUUCCACUCCAAGCAUGUAUACUUAUACAGAGAUUAGAAUGAGAAUGAUGUUUCUGGAUUUAUCCAGCAUUAUAGACAUCUUGGAUACAUAUAGGAUUAUUGAGCUAUGUAUACAUUAAGGCCACCUUCUCAUGGUAGAGAUUUCCUGCAUGAGAAAAAUCAGUGAUCUUGUUUUCAUUCAGAAGAAAACAAUGGGUUGUCUUCAGCACAUCUGGUUGCAAGACAGAACAAUGAGAAGCUGAUAACAAAAUAAUGUCGCAUAAUGAAGUACUUCAGGUAUGUGAAAUGUGAAUCUCCAAAGAGAUUAGAGCUGUAAUUUGUACUUGGUUCUGAAGAUGAACACCUGUAAUAGUCACUUUCCCAUGGUAAUUGUCUUUAUAAAAUUAACAGUGAUUCAGAUUUAUAUUUGAGGAUUAAUCCAUAUUGAAUUGGAGAGCUAAGGUAAUUUCAAGUAAAUACAGAUGCUUUUUCUCUAGGUCAAAGGCAAGUUUUAUAAGGUUACAAGACUGGUUUUAUAAAUGAAAAGCAAAGGUUAGGAAAGUGGCAUUCAUGUGUUUGGCUAAUUAGUUUCUCUUUAAGCAUGCAAAUACCUACAAAGAAAGGAGAGAGCUGGCAUAUGGCUCAUCUAUCCCACCUUUGAGACUAUAUUCAAGGGAAUGAAAUUAAUGUAUGACAGAGAUAGCUGCACUCUCAUGUUUAUUACAGCACUAUUCACAAUGGCUAUGUAAUCAACCUCAAUAUCCGUAGGUGGAUGAGCAGAUAAAAGAAUGUGAGGCUCCAAUACAUUUACAAUGGAGUAUUAUGUACUCCAUAUACAUGUAUAAUGGAGUAUAAUUCUAUCAUAAAAAAGAACGAUAUUCUGACAUUUGUUGCAAGGUGGAUGGAAUUGGAGAUCAUUAUAUUUAGUGAAAUAAGCCACACACAGAAAGACAAAUAUUGCAGGUUCUCUUUGAAACAUGGAAGUUAAACAAGUAGUUGAUUUGAUCAUUGAAUAGUGAUUACUAGAGGCUGGGAAAAGAGGGUGGAUAGAAGAGAGAGGAGGAUGGAGAAGAUGUACCAAAACAGAGGUAGAGUGACAAGCCCUAGCGUUCUGCAGCACAGCGGGGAGACUGUACUUCAUACUAAUAUAUAAUAUGCUGUAUGAAGAACCAGAGAGAAGGGUCUCAUAGGUUGCACACACAAAGCAUAGUUAAGGGAAUGGGUAGGCCAGGUACCUGUUUUGAUUUGCUUACACUGGCUGCAUGUGUUGAAAAGUCACACUGUUCCCCAUAAAUGUGUACAAAUAUUACAUUAAUCAAUUUUUAAAAAAAACUAAUUUUAAAAAAGAAAGACUGCUUAUUUGCCAUUAACAACUUAUUGUGUCUUAGUUGAAUCAGAUUCUUUCUUCUGAGCAUUUGGUUGAGAUGAUAUGGAAGAAUACUGGUGAAAUAUUGUUUCCUGUAACAUUUCUCUUUAAGCUGAUACUCCAUGUGUAAAUACAUACUUAGUUCCUCCCUGCAUCGAAAUGUAUUGGACCCUUGAUUACCAUAAAAAUAAAUAUUCAGGAUACUCCUAAAUAAAAAUAAGUGUGGUGACUACUGUCUUUGAUAAAUUUAAAUUAUUCCGAAACACAAUUCAUUAUGGAGCCCGAGUUUGCACGAUACUAUAUAGGAUCACUGACAAGUAGUUUGGCAUGAUGAUUAGGGGCACUGGGCCUAGAGAAUGUUAGCCUGUAUUUAAAUCCAGACUCAUCUCAUUAGCAGCUCUGUGAUCAUUGUAGAUGCUUAACUUCUGUGUGUCUUUGUUUCCCCCAUUUUAAAGAAGAAUCAUGUUAGUUUCCAUUUAAUGGGGUUCUGGUUGGAAUUUAAGCAUUAAUACAAGGUUAGAACAAUGCUCACCUCUAAGACAGCAAAAUGAUAGUUUUGGUGAUUCUUUUCAGGGCUCAAGAGUACCAUAUACUGGAUUAUGGCAUACUGGCAUACUGAAUGUUUUAAACUGAGAGGAAUUUGGGAAACUGCAGAAGCAGGAAGAUUUCCCUGAACUUCUCUCACAAUUCCUUUCCCCAAUAUAGGCCAUAACGCUUAGGAAGGUUACUUUCUGAACCUCUGUCUUCUUUCUCUCCUAAAGACUCUCGUGUGACAGGUGUUCUGUCCAGUAUCCAAAGGAAAGACAUGUCACACGGGGAUGUCAAAAGCAACCUGAAAAAAACAGGCUUUGCUAAGUUCCUACCAAUUUAAUGCCUUUCGAUCAUACCCUUCUGUCCUCCAAUCAUUCUUCUGCAUGAUCAUUCAUAAAAAUUCAGUUUCCCAUGGUCUCCUGAAGAUUCCUGUGAAAUUUGUAUUAAAUAAAUAAAUGUGCUUUUCUGUUGUUAAUCUGUGUUUUGUUUCAGGAAUGCCAGUGGCAGAAGUUUCAGUGGGUGAGGAAAGAAUUACUUUUUUAUUUCCUACAUUACUGCCUCAGUGACAGCAUAUAGAAAAACACAAGUGAAAAGUCAUUUUUUUAACACAACUAACAAUUUUCAAGCAGAAAUCUGCCGUGUUCAAUUACAUUGAAGAGCUCCUGAGGGAUGGUUGAAAGACAUCAUUGACAACUCAUUCUCUGCUGGUUUUGACCAUCUUCUGGGUGGUUCACUAUUAAAGAAACGAAGCUGAGAAAGGUUAUGUCUUAUCUGAUGCCAAUUGCGUUUGCUGACAGAGAGAACAGAAGCCUACCAGUGGUGAGCCUCCAGGUUCCUCUGAUCUGCAUGUUUCAUCUCUACAGGGGACAUGUGAGGCCGUGGCUGUGAUGCCUGCACGGGUGCUGUGGUGAGGGCAUUUUCCUGGCUGCUGUGUGGACUGCCGGACCCUGUGCACAAGCUGAAGAAUGUGAGAGGUGGAAGGAGGCAGCCCAUUCUCUAGACUCCUCAGAGUCUACAGAAAACAAGCAUUCCAUACAGAUUAGGAGUGGAAAUAUUAUUUGCUGCAGUAAACUUUUCAAAGAAAAGCGUAUUAUCAAAUUCUGGUAUUUAAAAUUGUUAACAGCCAAUAAAAAUAGCUGUCCUCUGUUUUUAAGUUUGAGAGGAGUAACAAAGUCUCAUCCUUUUCAAUCUUGCCCACUUCCUGCUAAGCAAAUAACUGGGUUCUUUUUGAAAACUCAGAGCUGCGUGGGAGUUUUAAAACGGAAAGGACACAGUUUGAAAACUUGGUACGUAUUUCACUUCCUCCUGUCUCUUUCCACCAUUUUAUAACUUGUGUGUUUGAUGAAGAAAUUAAGACCAGAAAGAUUCAGUCAUUUCUCUAUGGCUACACUAUUAGCCAAAGAAGUGAAAUUAGACUUCUUGUUUACUGUAUAUUUCUUGUUUGCUGUUUUACAACACUGAAACCAUACAGAAUGAUGCUUAAUCUCAUUUGAAACUGAUUUUCAAAUCAUUUUCAUCUGAAUGGGCUAAUCCAUAAAAAGAGUGGGAUUUGACAGAUACUUGUGAAUUACUUCAGAAACUGAAAACAACCAUGGCUAAUUGCUGGGGGAGUAACUCAAGGAAAUGGUCCUAAUUGCAUGAAAAUUCGAAGUUACCAAAGACGAUCAAUCAUAAUUUUUUAUUCAUUUUCAACUGUGUUCUGGACGUUAAGGAUACAAAAGAAACACAAAGCAUGGUAUCUGACUUUAAGAAAUAGACUAUUUUGUUAGGUAAACAGUGUAUGUGUUUACAAGAGAUAGAUAUCAAUUGAACUAUGUAGAAUUUCAUGAAAUCUUCAUUGCAGCUUAUUGAAAGGAGAUAGGCAGUAAUAUUCUCUAACUUAUAAAUUAAAAAUGGGGGAGAGAGAUAGAGAGAGAGGGAGAAAGAGAGAGGGAAAGGAAAAGAGGAAGGGGAAGAGGAAAAGCAUGAAGUGGAGCAAGAUAAAGUGAAAUGGUGAAAUGGAACCUCUAUAACAUAAAAGCAGGACACAGCUUGUCUAUCUCCCUUAGCCCAAGGAGUCCUUGGCUGCCCUUUUCCAAAAGAAUUUACUGACUUAAGCAAGGUUCUAAUCACUCUAAUUACCGGAGUCAUUUGCUACUUCAAUAGAUAUUAACCUUGAUGGCCAAUAUUGCCCAGAGUGUUGAUGUAAGAAAAUUCUAGAUUUGGGCAGAAUGUAACUGCCACGUGCAAUCCCAGACCAACUGGAGCCCACCUUGCCAUCAUAAAUUCACUAAAGAGCAUGAUGUCACUGACCUAUAAAAGGAAAAUCAGAAGCACAGGUGACUAACCAAGAAUUUGAGCAUCAGCUGAUCACACAUCUCUCAGCCCUAAUUUUAAUCCAUAAGAAUCUUCACUCCUAACUCAUCUGGGGACCUGGAAAUUAAGCAGAAAUGGCCUGUGUCUUGCUCCAUGCUUUGCACCACCACCUCAAUGUCAGUGAUUGACUUUCUGUGUGUUGGCCAAGUGGACCCCGGUAUGGGAGUCCUACAGCAACACCUCCAACUAGUCUGGGAUGUGGUUUAGCAACACAGGUUGUUCAGGAAUGUGUUUUUUGGUCUUUGGAGUUAUCAAUAUGUUGUGGGUCUAUGGCUUUUCAUGAUGUCCUGGCCAAAUAUCUGAAAGAAGAAGCUAAAACGUUGGCAAAGAGAAAUGAAUAGCAUGGGGCAACAUAAGUUUUGUCACCAGAGAAAAGAGCCGUCGAAAGCUGUGGGGUCCUUGUCUUCGUGCAAGAAAGAAUUCAGGCAGGUGUGAGACAGAGUGAAGUGAUAGGGUUUUAUUGGGGAUAGAGCAUCCAUCAGAAUGGAAAACCAGAUAGAGUACCCAGUCACUCAGAAUAGGAAAGAGUGAGGUUGCUUGGUUGA